rnacentral:tRNA from 1 species
GCCGGGAUGGCGGAAUUGGUAGACGCAAGGGAUUCAAAACCCCUCGACGCGAGUCAUGAGAGUUCGAGUCUCUCUCCCGGCA